GCAGGAAUUACAAUUUUACUAUACUAUGCCAUUCGAAAAACAAGUGGGUACCUUUAUUUUUUUGGUCCACCCAUUCCUCUUAUGCUACUAUCCGACCCGUUGAAGGGUUGUAUUCGACACCACUACAAGCCAGUAGUUAGAAGAGCCGUUUGUGGUCUCGACGCAUUAAGUCCUAGUGGUUACGAAAUUGCUGUUUGCUCCAAUUGUGGACGGAGAUAGAGUUUAGGUAGCGCAAUCACACGGUCCUAGCUGUGUUUCAUGAAACACCUCCCAUGUCAAUAACCUUCGACAAUGGCAGUUUCAAAGGUUGCGAUGAAUGUCUUGCUCUUUGCUGGGUUCCAUCUCGAAUAUUUUUUGGAGCCCAAUUCGUUUGCGUCUUCAGGUGCAUUUGACAAAGCAGGACGCGGAACGUAACCUAUUUACCUGAAGCAAUAAUAGAGUUGUAAAAAUUGCAAAUAAUAAAAUCCUAACUGGAGAGAAGGUUGCCCGUCGGAACACCUGAGUGUAGAACGGAUCCAUGGGUUUGGAUGACCGUAUGAAAGGAAGGCAGCAGUGACACCAAAAUCUGAUGGGAAAAUUUUACAGGCAAUAAGCUUGACGAUUGACGCAGAAUUUUUCGUUAAGGAGUGGGAUGAUAUAAGGUUUUACUGGGAAAAUCAUCGACAGAAGGCGAAGGCUCUGACGACGGAGGAAAGUGCUGGAGGCUACACUUCUUC
rnacentral:lncRNA from 1 species